rnacentral:rRNA from 1 species
GAUGAACGCUAGCGGCAGGCCUAACACAUGCAAGUCGAGGGGUAGCAGGAUUAAGCUUGCUUAAUUGCUGACGACCGGCGCACGGGUGCGUAACGCGUAUGCAACCUACCUUAUACUGGGGUAUAGCCCGGAGAAAUUCGGAUUAAUCCCCCAUAGUACUAAUGAAUCGCAUGGUUUAUUAGUUAAAGCAUUGCGGUAUAAGAUGGGCAUGCGUCCUAUUAGCUAGAUGGUGAGGUAACGGCUCACCAUGGCUACGAUAGGUAGGGGGCCUGACAGGGUGGUCCCCCACACUGGUACUGAGACGCGGACCAGACUCCUACGAGAGGCAGCAGUGAGGAAUAUUGGUCAAUGGGCGCAAGCCUGAACCAGCCAUGCCGCGUGCAGGAAGAAUGCCCUAUGGGUUGUAAACUGCUUUUAUUUGGGAAUAAACCUCUUUACGUGUAGAGAGCUGAAGGUACCAAAUGAAUAAGCACCGGCUAACUCCGUGCCAGCAGCCGCCGCCG